rnacentral:tRNA from 4 species
GUCCAGGUCGCCAAGUGUUUAAGGCAUCGGCUUGCAACACCGACUGCUUCGUGGGUUGAAAUCCCACCCUGGACU